rnacentral:misc_RNA from 1 species
AUUUCUCAACCUUAAAAGCUUUUUACAAAGCUGAUUAGGCUUGGAUAUGAUGGGAGCUUUGCCAAUCUAGCGAGUUGGCUCUCCUGAAAUACAUUAGCAAGAUCAAUUGCUGAACUAUCUUUUGAUAUGAUAAUUAUCUAUAUCAUCGAUGAAACAGUGGUUUCCUUUCUGGAAAGAUCUUGCUUUCUAACUGUCUUUCGGGACAAUUCUAUGAAUCAC